rnacentral:rRNA from 1 species
CUACGGAGGGGGCUAGCGUUGUUCGGAAUUACUGGGCGUAGAGCGCGCGUAGGCGGACCAGUCAGUCAGGGGUGAAAUCCCGGGGCUCAACCCCGGAACUGCCUUUGAUACUGCUGGUCUUGAGUUCGAGAGAGGUGAGUGGAAUUCCGAGUGUAGAGGUGAAAUUCGUAGAUAUUCGGAGGAACACCAGUGGCGAAGGCGGCUCACUGGCUCGAUACUGACGCUGAGGUGCGAAAGCGUGGGGAGCAAACAGGAUUAGAAACCCUUGUAGUCC